rnacentral:rRNA from 1 species
ACUCCUACGGGAGGCAGCAGUAGGGAAUCCUGCGCAAUGGGCGAAAGCCUGACGCAGCGACGCCGCGUGCGGGACGAAGGCCUUCGGGUUGUAAACCGCUUUCAGCAGGGACGAAGCGAAAGUGACGGUACCUGCAGAAGAAGGUCCAGCCAACUACGUGCCAGCAGCCGCGGUAAU